AAUACUUAGGAAUCUACCUAUUAAUGGGGGACAACAUUUCGAAAGGAAUGCUAAUACCGCAUACGCCCUACGGGGGAAAGCAGGGGCUCUUCGGACCUUGCGUUAAUAGAUGAGCCUAAGUCGGAUUAGCUAGUUGGUGGGGUAAAGGCCUACCAAGGCGACGAUCUGUAGCGGGUCUGAGAGGAUGAUCCGCCACACUGGGACUGAGACACGGCCCAGACUCCUACGGGAGGCAGCAGUGGGGAAUAUUGGACAAUGGGGGGAACCCUGAUCCAGCCAUGCCGCGUGUGUGAAGAAGGCCUUUUGGUUGUAAAGCACUUUAAGCGAGGAGGAGGCUACUCUAGUUAAUACCUAGAGCUAGUGGACGUUACUCGCAGAAUAAGCACCGGCUAACUCUGUGCCAGCAGCCGCGGUAAUACAGAGGGUGCGAGCGUUAAUCGGAUUUACUGGGCGUAAAGCGUGCGUAGGUGGCCAAUUAAGUCAAAUGUGAAAUCCCCGAGCUUAACUUGGGAAUUGCAUUCGAUACUGGUUGGCUAGAGUAUGGGAGAGGAUGGUAGAAUUCCAGGUGUAGCGGUGAAAUGCGUAGAGAUCUGGAGG
rnacentral:rRNA from 1 species